rnacentral:lncRNA from 1 species
UUAAAAGUUUAGGUAGUUUGGUACCAAAGCACAACAAGUUGCUUGCAAGUCACCAUAGUGAUCUCAGAUCAGAGGGACACUAUACCCAUAUCCCUUUGGAAUAACUCUUGAUAUUAGAGUGCUCUAGAGUUGGUCACGUUCAGUGAAAUAUAUUCUUACAUUUCACCUACAUGCCAUACUAAUAUUUUUAUGCUCUUUGGUUAAGAGGAUAACCAACUUAUAUGGCACACAACGACCUACACCUAAUAUGUCUAUC